rnacentral:rRNA from 1 species
ACAUCCAGCGAACUUGGCAGAGAUGCCUUGGUGCCUUCGGGAACGCUGAGACAGGUGCUGCAUGGCUGUCGUCAGCUCGUGUUGUGAAAUUGUUGGGUUAAGUCCCGCAACGAGCGCAACCCUUUAUCCUUUGUUGCCAGCGAUUCGGUCGGGAACUCAAAGGAGACUGCCGGUGAUAAACCGGAGGAAGGUGGGGAUGACGUCAAGUCAUCAUGGCCCUUACGAGUAGGGCUACACACGUGCUACAAUGGCGCAUACAAAGAGAAGCGACCUCGCGAGAGCAAGCGGACCUCAUAAAGUGCGUCGUAGUCCGGAUCGGAGUCUGCAACUCGACUCCGUGAAGUCGGAAUCGCUAGUAAUCGUGGAUCAGAAUGCCACGGUGAAUACGUUCCCGGGCCUUGUACACACCGCCCGUCACACCAUGGGAGUGGGUUGCAAAAGAAGUAGGUAGCUUAACCUUCGGGAGGGCGCUUACCACUUUGUGAUUCAUGACUGGGGUGAAGUCGUAACAAGGUAAGCGUAGCGAG